rnacentral:lncRNA from 1 species
CUCCCUUUGUAUGGCAGUUCUGUUUUCACUCUAUUAAAUCUUGCAACUGCACACUCCUCUGGUCCCUGUUUGUUAUGUCUCAAGCUGAGGUUUCGCUAGCCGUCCACCACUGCUAUUUGCUGCCGUGGCAGACCUGCUGCUGACUUCCACCCCUCUGGAUCCGGAAGGGAGUCUGCUGUACUCCUGAUCCAGCAAGGUGCCCAUUGCUACUCCUGAUCGGACUAAAGGCUUGCCAUUGUUCCUGCACAGCUAAGUGUCCGGGUUCAUCCUAAUUGAGCUGAACACUAGUCGCUGGGUUCCACCAUUCUCUUCCAUGACCCGCGGCUUCUAAUAGAGCUAUAACACUCACCGCAUGGCCCAAGAUUCCAUUCCUUGGAAUCCAUGAGGCCAAGAACCCCAGGUCAGAGAACAAGAGGCUUGCUACCAUCUUGGAAGCGGCCCGCCACCAUCUUGGGAGCUCUGGGAGCAAGCACCUCCGUUAUAUGGAGUACAUGAGUGAAAGAAUGUGCUGCACACCUUCUGUAUGGCUUUGUGAAAGUCACGUAACUUCUUUGGAACUUAGCUUCUUUAUCUGUAAAGGGUAGAAAUACAACUCUGUUGGGAACAUGGAACACAGAGUAUUAUGAGACUGCAGGCUCAAAGAAUAUCUGGGAGAUUAAAGUAGUCAUUCAGAAAAGAAGAUAUGAGAAUUAGAACAAAGGAAGCAAGAUUUCUGCAUUGUUUCUAAUUAUUCACAAGAACUCCUAUAAGAUAUAUGUCUACAAUUUAAAGAUUUAAUGAAGCACAUAAAAAGAUGAAUAUGCAAAAUUCAGC